GAUUCCCCUCACAGAUAUUUUCCUGUCUCUUCUGAAGGGCCAGUCUUCUCGGGAGUUGAAGUGAGUGGUUGCUAAGUGUGGAGUCAGCAGUAGACUGGGAACAGGAGGGCAGAGGGCCUGGCAAGAGCCCAUGGGGGUUUCCCGGGGUUUCCAAAGAGGCUUCCAGUUGGGUGUCCACCAGAUCACACCCACAGAAACCACUUCUUCCCUCCAGAAACUUCCCAGACCUCUUACCACCACACAAGGGAUUUAAGAACUGAACAAUCUUUUGGGGAUGUCCAGUAAAGGGAAUGGUGAGGCGGCUCCAAAAGGAAACAAAGGGAGUGUUUAGCUGGUUGGUGAGCUCAGGUAUCAGUCCCAGAGAGCCGAUUUCUCUGCUUUGCUUUGUCUGUUAGUACUCAUUUUGCUUUGCAACCAGAAACACAUUUCAGUUUGAAAUUGUACCCAGGCUGCACCCUCCCUCUCCGACGUUAGGGUGCACCCACUCUUCUCAGGCCCAAUCAGGCAGCGAUGUGCCUUGCAUCCAGACAAGGAGUAAAUAUCAUUCUGGAGCCCUCAGUGAAUAUCAUUCUGGAGUAAUAGCUUCUUCAUAAUAAGGACUUACAAGUAACUCAUUACCUCCUCACCAGCCAAAAAUACUCAUUUCUCCAGGGCACAUCUACAAGACGAGGAAACCAGAGAGGGGACAAAUCUCCCAGACCUGUGGGAGGGAAGAAAAGAGACAACCUGAGCUGGAAGUAACCCUGGGCCAAUCCUAAAACCACGUGCAGAUCCACGGAGGACUAAUGUGGAACUGAAUUUUUCUGUGUGUUAUUUUAGAUUGUAUUCUUUUCUAAAAUCACAGUACAAAAUGUUUUCAAAACUAUACUGAGCAAUGACUUGAGAUCACUGACCUAAGGUUUCUACCUCCACAAAGAGCAGUAUUUCAGCUCACUCUUCUUGGUGAUGAAUAAAUUGACUUCCAACUAUGAAUAAUCUGAAAAUAAGCAUUUUGUGGACUCUCACUGACCAUUGUUAAAUCGGUUUCUCUCUUGGCAGAAUCCAACCAGAAGCCAAAGGAAAGGAAGCCGGUUGAUAUGAUUGCAGGAGACACUGUAGGGACCCCACACACAUCACCUUGACAUUUAGAGUCUCAUGUUAUAUUUGCCAAAAUCACCUUUUAGCAUUUUUAUUACAUGAUUACAUAGGAACUGCCAACAGGUUCAUUCCAGUAGUUCCUAUAGACACAUGUUCAGAUCCCUGUUGACUCAGCUUCCUAGAUCCUUCAGUCUUCUCAUGCUUCUCAUUGUAAGUAUAGGGAUUCCAGAAAGCAUACUGUCUUGGACAGGAUAUAUACACGGUGCCUAGUAGACUCCCUUCUAAGAAAGCUCUUGAGUGACUUCCACACUUCUUGCCUGCUGCUGAAGACUUCCUUAUCCCUCAUUACCAUGCGUUUUUAUCAUUGAUCUCCUUAUCCUAGGAAUAUCCAGAGUGGAAUUAAGCAGGCAGAUAUCUAUGUUUGCCAACAAGGUUUUAGAGGGAUUGUCAAGCACACGUGUUGCCCUGGAAUUUUAACUGACUGACUAAACUAAAAUUUGGAUGUGAGAGAGUGUAAGACAGCCAGGUAACUAGUAGCAUUUAGAGAAGACAGCAGUUAAAUUGCCAACGUAUUAGAGCACUGGAGUAAGAUUAGAC
rnacentral:lncRNA from 1 species